CCUACGCGAGGCAGCAGUGAGGAAUAUUGGUCAAUGGGCGGGAGCCUGAACCAGCCAAGUCGCGUGAGGGAAGACGGUCCUAUGGAUUGUAAACCUCUUUUGGCGGGGAGCAAUGCCGGGCACGCGUGCCCGGAGGGAGAGUACCCGCAGAAUAAGCAUGGGCAAACUCCGUGCCAGCAGCCGCGGUAAUACGGAGGAUGCGAGCGUUAUCCGGUUUUAUUGGGUUUAAGGGGUGCGUAGGCGGAUUUUUAAGUCAGUGUUAAAGUGUCCGGGUUAAACCCAGGCCUGCCGUUGAAACUGGGGAUCUUGAGUGGGCGAGAGGUAUGCGGAAUGCGUGGUGUAGCGGUGAAAUGCAUAGAUAUCACGCAGAACUCCGAUUGCGAAGGCAGCAUACCGGCGCCCGACUGACGCUGAGGCACGAAAGCGUGGGGAUCGAACAGGAUUAGAUACCCCUGUAGUC
rnacentral:rRNA from 1 species